GGUAGUGUUGCUUACGUGUUUGAGAACCUGCCUAGUAAGCAGAAGACCUGAGUUCAAACCUCAGUACUACAG
rnacentral:tRNA from 1 species